rnacentral:sRNA from 1 species
GGAACCCGGGUAGCAUUUUCAAAGAACAAAGGGACUUGAUCUGAUAUUUUUUCAUUCUGCAAAAUUAGCCUUGCUUCUGUCAACAUUUCAGCCUUGGCCAAGAUAUUCAAGUUACCAUCUUCACUACAGACACUAAACUACAGAACCCAGGGCAGCAUACUGGACCUAUUUUUAGGCACUCAAAUAGCCAUAUGAACAGAUCCAAGGAGGACAGAUUUGAGCGAGCAUCUGAGAAGAGGCUUCUUCUGUUGCAGACAGACUAACUCUUCAAAUGACUAAUGGUGGCCCACAGCUUGGCUGUAGUAUCCUGAAAGACUGAGGCAAUCAUCUCGUGGCUCAGUCAUUCCUGAAUUCCCAUUCCACAGAAACUAUGCAAAAUGAUAAACCUUUGCUAUUUGAAAUCACUAUUUGCAGUAAUUCAUUUGACAGUAAUAACUGCCUGAUGCAAAGUUGGUUUUUGUCAGCCUGAUGCAAACCUAGAUACAGCAGGGCAGAGGGAAUCUCAACUGAGGAACUGCGUCCAUCAGAUUGCCCAGAGGCAAGUCUGUGGAACAUUUUCUUAAUUAACCACUGAUAUGGGAGGGCUCGGCCCUCUGUGGGUGGCACCCUCCAUGGACUGGUGGUCUGGAAUUAUCUAAGAAAACAGGCUGAAGCUGUGAGAUACAAACCAGAAAGCACCAUUCCUUCAUGGUCUGGUGCUGGAACUGCUUCAGUUC